AACGAACGCUGGCGGCAUGCCUAACACAUGCAAGUCGAACGAGACCUUCGGGUCUAGUGGCGCACGGGUGCGUAACGCGUGGGAACCUGCCCUUAGGUUCGGAAUAACUCCCCGAAAGGGGUGCUAAUACCGGAUAAUGUCUUCGGACCAAAGAUUUAUCGCCGUUGGAUGGGCCCGCGUUGGAUUAGCUAGUUGGUAGGGUAAAAGCCUACCAAGGCGACGAUCCAUAGCUGGUCUGAGAGGAUGAUCAGCCACACUGGGACUGAGACACGGCCCAGACUCCUACGGGAGGCAGCAGUGGGGAAUAUUGGACAAUGGGCGAAAGCCUGAUCCAGCAAUGCCGCGUGAGUGAUGAAGGCCUUAGGGUUGUAAAGCUCUUUUACCCGGGAUGAUAAUGGCAGUACCGGGAGAAUAAGCUCCGGCUAACUCCGUG
rnacentral:rRNA from 1 species